UGAGUGGCGAACGGGUGAGUAACACGUGAGUAACCUGCCCCUGAUUUCGGGAUAAGCCUGGGAAACUGGGUCUAAUACCGGAUACGACCAACCCUCGCAUGAGGGUUGGUGGAAAGUUUUUCGAUCGGGGAUGGGCUCGCGGCCUAUCAGCUUGUUGGUGGGGUAAUGGCCUACCAAGGCGACGACGGGUAGCCGGCCUGAGAGGGCGACCGGCCACACUGGGACUGAGACACGGCCCAGACUCCUACGGGAGGCAGCAGUGGGGAAUAUUGCACAAUGGGGGAAACCCUGAUGCAGCGACGCAGCGUGCGGGAUGACGGCCUUCGGGUUGUAAACCGCUUUCAGCAGGGAAGAAGCGAAAGUGACGGUACCUGCAGAAGAAGUACCGGCUAACUACGUGCCAGCAGCCGCGGUAAUACGUAGGGUACGAGCGUUGUCCGGAAUUAUUGGGCGUAAAGAGCUCGUAGGUGGUUGGUCACGUCUGCUGUGGAAACGCAACGCUUAACGUUGCGCGUGCAGUGGGUACGGGCUGACUAGAGUGCAGUAGGGGAGUCUGGAAUUCCUGGUGUAGCGGUGAAAUGCGCAGAUAUCAGGAGGAACACCGGUGGCGAAGGCGGGACUCUGGGCUGUAACUGACACUGAGGAGCGAAAGCAUGGGGAGCGAACAGGAUUAGAUACCCUGGUAGUCCAUGCCGUAAACGUUGGGCACUAGGUGUGGGGGACAUUCCACGUUCUCCGCGCCGUAGCUAACGCAUUAAGUGCCCCGCCUGGGGA
rnacentral:rRNA from 1 species